CGGACGGGUGAGUAAUGUCUGGGAAACUGCCUGAUGGAGGGGGAUAACUACUGGAAACGGUAGCUAAUACCGCAUAACGUCGCAAGACCAAAGAGGGGACCUCGGGCCUCUUGCCAUCGGAUGUGCCCAGAUGGGAUUAGCUAGUAGGUGGGGUAACGGCUCACCUAGGCGACGAUCCCUAGCUGGUCUGAGAGGAUGACCAGCCACACUGGAACUGAGACACGGUCCAG
rnacentral:rRNA from 1 species